GUGGGGAAUAUUGGGCAAUGGGCGCAAGCCUGACCCAGCAACGCCGCGUGAAGGAAGAAGGUUUUCGGAUUGUAAACUUCUUUUAAGAGGGACGAAGAAAGUGACGGUACCUCUUGAAUAAGCCACGGCUAACUACGUGCCAGCAGCCGCGGUAAUACGUAGGUGGCAAGCGUUAUCCGGAUUUACUGGGUGUAAAGGGCGUGUAGGCGGGAAUGCAAGUCAGAUGUGAAAAUUAUGGGCUCAACCCAUAACCUGCAUUUGAAACUGUGUUUCUUGAGUGAUGGAGAGGCAGGCGGAAUUCCGUGUGUAGCGGUGAAAUGCGUAGAUAUACGGAGGAACACCAGUGGCGAAGGCGGCCUGCUGGACAUUAACUGACGCUGAGGCGCGAAAGCGUGGGGAGCAAACAGGAUUAGAAACCCGUGUAGUCC
rnacentral:rRNA from 1 species